GAUGAAGAACGCAGCGAAAUGCGAUACGUAAUGUGAAUUGCAGAAUUCAGUGAAUCAUCGAGUCUUUGAACGCACAUUGCGCCCCCUGGUAUUCCGGGGGGCAUGCCUGUCCGAGCGUCAUUGCUGCCCUCAAGCACGGCUUGUGUGUUGGGCCUCCGUCCUCCUCCCGGGGGACGGGCCCGAAAGGCAGCGGCGGCACCGCGUCCGGUCCUCGAGCGUAUGGGGCUUCGUCACCCGCUCUGUAGGCCCGGCCGGCGCUUGCCGAUCAACCAAAACUUUUUUCCAGGUUGACCUCGGAUCAGGUAGGGAUACCCGCUGAACUUAAGCAUAUCAAUAAGCGGAGGA
rnacentral:misc_RNA from 1 species